rnacentral:rRNA from 1 species
CCAAUAGCGUAUAUUAAAGUUGCUGCAGUUAAAAAGCUCGUAGUUGAAUUUCGGGACCAUCAUGUCGGUCGUGCCUCGGUACGUACUGGUAUUGUUGGUUUCUCCCUUCUGACGAACCAUGAUGUCAUUUAUUUGGUGUUGUGGGGAAUCAGGACUGUUACUUUGAAAAAAUUAGAGUGUUUAAAGCAGGCUCGCGCUUGAAUACAUUAGCAUGGAAUAAUGAAAUAGGACGUUUGAUUCUAUUUUGUUGGUUUCUAGGAUCGACGUAAUGAUUAAUAGGGAUAGUUGGGGGCAUUAGUAUUCAAUUGUCAGAGGUGAAAUUCUUGGAUUUAUUGAAGACUAACUACUGCGAAAGCAUUUGCCAAGGAUGUUUUCAUUAAUCAAGAACGAAAGUUAGGGGAUCGAAGACGAUCAGAUACCGUCGUAGUCUUAACCAUAAACUAUGCCGACUAGGGAUCGGAUGAUGUUAAUUUUUUAAUGACUCAUUCGGCGCCUUACG